AACAACAUUUUAUAUCAGAGGAUUAUCUAACAAUGAGAACGCACCAUCAAGAAAACUCUGCAACCAUUGAUGGAUUGACGACGUUCUUACCAAAGGUCGUUGCCUAGUCAAUCAGCCGAGGCAUCUCUUCGAGUGUAUCUCUUUGAGUGUCUGGACUUAAAUCAAAUGUAUUUCAGAAAGCUAUGGGAGUUUGUGACCAUGAGCAUGCGCCAUCACGCAAGGAAGUUCAACACCAGAUUGUUUCUUUGGUUAUACUUUUACCUAGGAAGGAAAGUAUUAAAGGCGAGUAAUUAGUGGUGAAAUUGAUACUUGCAUCAUUCAUCAUCUGGAUUGUGAUGAUAUUGUUUGUGGCUGGUACCCAAGACUGUUCCGUUAUGCCAUCUAGAAAUAAAUUUUUCAUGUCAGCACUUUCCACUGAACCAAUUGAGUGAGUGUGCAAUGGUCUUCACAGACAUUUGAAAGCUGUUCUUUCUGUGGUUCAUCUUGCUGUCCCUAGUGGAUCCUCUUCCGUUCUUCAAUCACAAAGUUCACUUGCUGAUGGUAAGUCUUGACUGAACAUGUAAAACUUUUGCCUUGUUUAAUCGGAGAUGAGAAAUUUGCAUGUCUACUGGCUACCAAGAAAGGCUUGCAAGCAAACUCUUAUGUGGAGGGAAUAGGGAGCUCAGAUCUUUUUAGUUCUGAUGAUUGGAGUCCACUGACAAGAUGAUCCCCAACUCUCAGGAAGGAAAGUAUUAAAGGCGACUAAUUGGUGGUGAAAUUGAUACUUACAUCAUUCAUCAUCUGGGUUGUGAUGAUAUUGUUUGUGGCUGAUACCCAAGACUGUUCUGUUAUGCCAUCUAGAAAUAAAUUCUCCGCGUCAGCACUUUCCACUGAACCAAUUGAGUGAGUGUGCAAUGGUCUUCACAGACAUUUGAAUGCUGUUCUUUCUGUGGUUCAUCUUGCUAUCCCUAGCGGAUCCUCUUCCGCUCUUCUAUCCCCAAAGUUCACUUGGUGAUGAGGUGCUGGAAACCUAUACACCAAUUGCACAAUACAGGAGUAGUAGAAGUGAAACAAAAUUGGAAAGCAAAGCUAGGUCUUCUUUUGAGAAUUCUACUUAUGCCAGUCUCACUCUAGUAUGGUGGUCAACCUCAAAUUGCAGAAAACCAUAGUUUCUCAGCUCCAGACUCCUUUAUGUAUAAACUGAUCUCUAUCCCAAGGGCUCAUAUUCUGUUCCUUAGAGAGGAAAUUCUGAACCCAGCCAUCACUAAAAUUGACAUAAAAUUGGACAGAGUUGUGGCUAUGUCUCGUCUCAUAGCAGAAGAUUUCUGCAUUGGUUCAGCCUGUGAACCAUUAAUUAUGUGCUUAGUUCUUCUAGAUGAUUUUGUGAUCUGGAUGAAAAGCAUCCUGAUUGAUUUGCUUGACCAACCACAGGUCCAGGUUGAUUAUUUAUGCCUGUACAUCUUCUGAAUGACUUAAUAAAGUUUUGAGGUAUUUCAUGAAAGAAAUGAAAAGAAGGGUUUUUCUUGA